AUUUCAAACCUUUUUUUUAGAUUUUGAAAAUUCAAAUAGUUUUUUAACUUUUGGACCUUUAGUAAUGCGCAUAAAUACAGAUACAGAUACAGAUAAAGAUAUGUACUCCAUAAAUGUACUGUUUAAUAUUUCCUUUCUGGAAGAAUAUAACUAUAUUUAGAAAAAAAAAAGUAGGACCCACCUCUUGGGUUAAAAACUAACCCUAGUUAGGGUUUUUAAGAAAUUCAAAACAAAUCUAGGUUUAAUUGCAGAUAUAUCCUUACAAACUAGUAAAAUCACACAAGGAUUUCUCCAAAAAUAUGAUCAUUCUAUUUUUCAAUAGAUAUCUUUUUAACUAUUCUUAAUAUUAUCUUCUACUCAUAAUAAUUCUGUUAUAAUUCUCAGUAAAUAAAUUUUCAUAUUUUAAAACUUUACAAAAACAAAUUU
rnacentral:lncRNA from 1 species